AACGGCAGCACGGACUUCGGUCUGGUGGCGAGUGGCGAACGGGUGAGUAAUAUAUCGGAACAUACCCUAGAGUGGGGGAUAACGUAGCGAAAGUUACGCUAAUACCGCAUACGAACUAAGGUUGAAAGUGGGGGUUCGCAAGACCUCAUGCUCAUGGAGUGGCCGAUAUCUGAUUAGCUAGUUGGUGAGGUAAAGGCUCACCAAGGCGACGAUCAGUAGCUGGUCUGAGAGGACGACCAGCCACACUGGAACUGAGACACGGUCCAGACUCCUACGGGAGGCAGCAGUGGGGAAUUUUGGACAAUGGGGGCAACCCUGAUCCAGCAAUGCCGCGUGAGUGAAGAAGGCCUUCGGGUUGUAAAGCUCUUUUGUCAGGGAAGAAACGGUGAUCUCUAAUAUAGAUUGCUAAUGACGGUACCUGAAGAAUAAGCACCGGCUAACUACGUGCCAGCAGCCGCGGUAAUACGUAGGGUGCAAGCGUUAAUCGGAAUUACUGGGCGUAAAGCGUGCGCAGGCGGUUAUAUAAGUCAGAUGUGAAAUCCCCGGGCUCAACCUGGGAACUGCAUUUGAGACUGUAUGGCUAGAGUGUGUCAGAGGGGGGUAGAAUUCCACGUGUAGCAGUGAAAUGCGUAGAUAUGUGGAGGAAUACCGAUGGCGAAGGCAGCCCCCUGGGAUAACACUGACGCUCAUGCACGAAAGCGUGGGGAGCAAACAGGAUUAGAUACCCUGGUAGUCCACGCCCUAAACGAUGUCUACUAGUUGUUGGGUCUUAAUUGACUUAGUAACGCAGCUAACGCGUGA
rnacentral:rRNA from 1 species